rnacentral:tRNA from 1 species
GCCUGGGUGGCUCAGUGGUUGAGCAUCUGCCUUCAGCUCAGGUCUUCAUCCCAGGGUCCUGGGAUCGAGUCCCACACCGGGCU